GAUGAACGCUGGCGGCGUGCCUAAUACAUGCAAGUCGAGCGAACGGACGAGAAGCUUGCUUCUCUGAUGUUAGCGGCGGACGGGUGAGUAACACGUGGAUAACCUACCUAUAAGACUGGGAUAACUUCGGGAAACCGGAGCUAAUACCGGAUAAUAUUUUGAACCGCAUGGUUCAAAAGUGAAAGACGGUCUUGCUGUCACUUAUAGAUGGAUCCGCGCUGCAUUAGCUAGUUGGUAAGGUAACGGCUUACCAAGGCAACGAUGCAUAGCCGACCUGAGAGGGUGAUCGGCCACACGAGAACUGAGACACGGUCCAGACUCCUACGGGAGGCAGCAGUAGGGAAUCUUCCGCAAUGGGCGAAAGCCUGACGGAGCAACGCCGCGUGAGUGAUGAAGGUCUUCGGAUCGUAAAACUCUGUUAUUAGGGAAGAACAUAUGUGUAAGUAACUGUGCACAUCUUGACGGUACCUAAUCAGAAAGCCACGGCUAACUACGUG
rnacentral:rRNA from 1 species